AAUAAUUUGACUAAUUAAAAACUUUGUGGAUGAUUAAUUAAGACUAUAGCAAGUUAUCUAAUUAAAGCUAAAUGCUGUGAGUAAUGCGCGGGGAAGAAGAUGAGAGACAGUGCACUACAAACACAAAGUUUUAUAGUGGUUCGGAGCUAACCCUUGCUCCUACGUCCACUCCCCAAGUCUCACUUGGAAAUUUCACUAUAACCCCCUUGGAUUACAGUCGGUUGUUUUGCAAGCUCACAACCAAACUUGUUGUUUUACGAGCUCACAACGAACUCGGUCGGUUUUCCCAGGCUCACCGACUAGCACCAACCCCGAUUGUUUUCCCGGGCUCACAAUCAAACCCUUACACACGUUGGUUUUAACUUGGCUCACCAACCAACCUUGAUCCCCUUGAUUCAAUCCCCCGAUUGA
rnacentral:lncRNA from 1 species